rnacentral:rRNA from 1 species
UACGUAGGGUGCAAGCGUUGUCCGGAAUUAUUGGGCGUAAAGAGCUUGUAGGCGGUUUGUCGCGUCUGCUGUGAAAUUUCGGGCUCACCCCGAACUUGCAGUGGGUACGGGCAGACUAGAGUGUGGUAGGGGAGACUGGAAUUCCUGGUGUAGCGGUGAAAUGCGCAGAUAUCUGGAGGAACACCGGUGGCGAAGGCGGGU